rnacentral:rRNA from 1 species
CGCAUCUGUGCAUGCAGCAUAUCAAUAAGCGGAGGAAAAGAAACUAACAAGGAUUCCCCUAGUAACGGCGAGUGAAGCGGGAAGAGCUCAAAUUUGAAAUCUUAAAGGGUUUCCCUUUACGAAUUGUAGUUUAAAGAAGUGUUUUCUGUUGAGGUUUUGGUAAAAGUUCUUUGGAAUAGGACAUCAUAGAGGGUGAGAAUCCCGUAUUUGACCUUUACUUUCAACUUUGUGAUACACUUUCAAAGAGUCGGACUGUUUGGGAAUGCAGUCCAAAAUGGGUGGUAAAUUUCAUCUAAAGCUAAAUAUUGGCGAGAGACCGAUAGCGAACAAGUACCGUGAGGGAAAGAUGAAAAGAACUUUGAAAAGAGAGUUAAACAGUACGUGAAAUUGUCAAAAGGGAAGCGUUUGACACCAGUGUUGUUUUUCUGAAAAUCAAUUAAAGAACUGUUUAUGCUAAGUUGUUUAGACUUUAUCAGCUAACUGUUUAGUUUUGAGCUUUUCUUUAAUGCACUUUUCAGUUAACAAGUCAACAUCAAUUUCUUUUGCUGUAAAAAAGCUUGAGGAAGGUGGCUUGAGAUUCGUCUUAAGUGUUUAUAGCCUCUUGCCUAUGCAGUCGGAGAGAUUGAGGUCUGCAGCGUAGAUCCUUCGGGGCUAAAUGCAUUUGUGCUAAGUUAUAACAUUUUAUAGACAACUUGUUGACUAUGAUUUGUCUUGUAGCUUACUCGCUUAUGUUAUUUUACCUACGCUUAGGAUGUUGAACGCGCACAGAGUCUC